rnacentral:rRNA from 1 species
UAGGGAAUAUUAGUAAUGGGCGAAAGCCUGAACUAGCAACGCCGCGUGUGCGAAGAAGGCCUUCGGGUUGUAAAGCACUUUUUGAGAGGAUGAGGAAGGACGGUACUCUCAGAAUAAGUCUCGGCUAACUACGUGCCAGCAGCCGCGGUAACACGUAGGAGGCGAACGUUAUCCGGAUUUACUGGGCGUAAAGCGCGUGUAGGUGGUUUGGUAAGUAGGGCGUGAAAGCUCCUGGCUCAACUGGGAGAGGCCGUUCUAAACUGCCGAACUAGAGGAUGGUAGAGGGAGGUGGAAUUCUGGGUGUAGCGGUGGAAUGCGCAGAUAUCCGGAGGAACACCAGUGGCGAAAGUGGCCUCCUGGACCACUCCUGACACUCAGACGCGAAAGCUAGGGUAGCAAACGG